rnacentral:lncRNA from 1 species
CCUCGCAUUGGGUAUGGUGAUGUGAUGGGCUGUGCGGCAGAAACACAUGGAAAACACAUCUUUUAGUUUUGUAGGUGUAGUUUUUUCCCCAGCCAGUGUCAGGCCCAGAUGUUCUGUUUUAUCAGUGCAUUUCCUUUGGGUUCUCUCCCCAUGUUUCAUAGGGGAUGGACAGACACAUUGCUAUUGGGACAAUCCUCGUAUAGUGGGACGACAGUAUUCAGACUCAGAGGGCGUGUACCACGCAGGACCUUUCUAUGGCCAUUCCUAUUUCUUAAGCAGCGACAUCAUCAUGGAAGGGGAUUUCAUCCGAGCAGGAGAUGCAUUUCUGUUGAUCAACUUUGAAGAUGUGUUGAAUCAAAUCAGCCCAAUUCUUCCGACUCCAAUGCCUGAAUCAAGUGUCAAUCUUCCCAGCCUGAUCGACAACCUUAGUCCAUGUGUAUACCAGGAGCUAUCAACUGACUGUCCAACUGCUUCAGCUGUCUGCACAUCAUCACAAUCCGUCUCCUUCCUGGCAGUCAUAGCUGUGAUCCUGUUAAUUCACUGGGGAUAGAUUACAGCAGUUUUUCUUAAUAAACAACACCAAAUGGUCUACCUUACUAUGACC